rnacentral:rRNA from 1 species
AUUGAACGCUGGCGGCAUGCCUUACACAUGCAAGUCGAACGGUAACGGGCCUUCGGGUGCCGUCGAGUGGCGCACGGGUGAGUAAUACAACGGAACGUGCCCGAUCGUGGGGGAUAACGAGGCGAAAGCUUUGCUAAUACCGCAUACGAUCUACGGAUGAAAGCCGGGGACCGCAAGGCUUUACGCGGACGGAGCGGCCGCUGGCAGAUUAGGUAGUUGGUGGGAUAAAAGCUUACCAAGCCGACGAUCUGUAGCUGGUCUGAGAGGAUGAUCAGCCACACUGGGACUGAGACACGGCCCAGACUCCUACGGGAGGCAGCAGUGGGGAAUUUUGGACAAUGGGCGCAAGCCUGAUCCAGCCAUGCCGCGUGCAGGAUGAAGGCCUUCGGGUUGUAAACUGCUUUUGUACGGAACGAAAAGCCUUCUUUUAAUACAGGAGGGUCAUGACGGUACCGUAAGAAUAAGCACCGGCUAACUACGUG